rnacentral:rRNA from 1 species
UACGGAGGGUGCGAGCGUUGCUCGGAAUCACUGGGCGUAAAGGGUGCGUAGGCGGGUCUUUAAGUCAGGGGUGAAAUCCUGGAGCUCAACUCCAGAACUGCCUUUGAUACUGAAGAUCUUGAGUUCGGGAGAGGUGAGUGGAACUGCGAGUGUAGAGGUGAAAUUCGUAGAUAUUCGCAAGAACACCAGUGGCGAAGGCGGCUCACUGGCCCGAUACUGACGCUGAGGCACGAAAGCGUGGGGAGCAAACAGG